rnacentral:rRNA from 1 species
GACGAACGCUGGCGGCGUGCCUAAUACAUGCAAGUAGGACGCAGUUGCGAACGGGUGAGUAACGCGUAGGUAACUGCCUAUUAGAGGGGGAUAACUAUUGGAAACGAUAGCUAAUACCGCAUACUAGUAGAUGGACCUGCGUUGUAUUAGCUAGUAGGUAGGGUAAUGGCCUACCUAGGGGACGAUACAUAGCCGAACGGAAAGGGUGAUGGGCAACAUUGUGACUGAGCAAAGGCGGAGAAUCCUACGGAAGGCAGCAGUAGGGAAGCGUCGGAAAUGGGGGGAAAGCGGACCGAGCAAAGCCGCGUGAGUGAAGAAGGGUUUUUGAAUGUAAAUCACUGUUGUUAAGGAAGCGGUACUUAACCAGAAAGGGACGGCUAACUACGUGCCAGCAGCCGCGGUAAUUC